AGAUCCACUGCCGCCGCAACCAUCACACUUUACUAGAUGGCCACUGCUUCAGCGUCUGGGAUUGAUAAAAUGAAGCCCCCCGAUACGGCAAAAGCAUCGGCUGUUGAAGAACGAUCGUUGACUGCUCAUCGGAUUUCGGAAGACAAUCUCGUUUCUGUUUUCCUCGGCUGCGGACCCACAACCACUCCUUUUGGAUUUGACCACUUCUCCUGCACAUAGAAUGAUAGCAAAAAGAUCAAGUUAGAGACUUCGGUCGAGCCUCUGUAAGUUGGCACGAGCUAUCAUAAGAUAAGAAGACUCCCUGUUGCAGGAGAAGUUUAAGCACCAUGUAAUGGUGCAAUUCAAAAACCAAAUGAAGUUUCAGUCACACUUUCUAGUGCAAGCUGGGCUCGAUAAGGUACCAAGAGUCUCCUACCUGUCGGUACAGUUUUUGAAGGAGUUUCGUAAGCAGAAGCACACACUUGAAUCAAAACUUUUACAGAGGCGUUUUUCUAAGCUUUAGUUGAAUAACAAGCACAUAAAUGAAUCUUGAAGAUUAUUAAUAAAAGUUGUAGUUAUCUUUAUUUUACUUUAUGACAGAUUUCUAAAUCUUUGUGGUU